GACGAACGCUGGCGGCGUGCUUAACACAUGCAAGUCGAACGAAGAGCGACGGAAGCUUGCUUCUAUCAAUCUUAGUGGCGAACGGGUGAGUAACGCGUAAUCAACCUGCCCUUCAGAGGGGGACAACAGUUGGAAACGACUGCUAAUACCGCAUACGAUCUAACCUCGGCAUCGAGGAUAGAUGAAAGGUGGCCUCUACAUGUAAGCUAUCACUGAAGGAGGGGAUUGCGUCUGAUUAGCUAGUUGGGGGGGUAACGGCCCACCAAGGCGAUGAUCAGUAGCCGGUCUGAGAGGAUGAACGGCCACAUUGGGACUGAGACACGGCCCAGACUCCUACGGGAGGCAGCAGUGGGGAAUCUUCCGCAAUAGACGAAAGUCUGACGGAGCAACGCCGCGUGAGUGAUGACGGCCUUCGGGUUGUAAAGCUCUGUUAAUCGGGACGAAAGGCCUUCUUGCGAAUAGUGAGAAGGAUUGACGGUACCGGAAUAGAAAGCCACGGCUAACUACGUG
rnacentral:rRNA from 1 species